GCGCCCGUAGCUCAGCCGGAUAGAGCGGCGGCCUUCUAAGCCGAUGGUCACAGGUUCGAAUCCUGUCGGGCGCG
rnacentral:tRNA from 1 species